UAGGAAUAAAUUAUUAAAUAUAUUCCAAAAGGAUUUCUGGUUUCAGCACUGGCAUGUAAAGAGCUUGGAAGUCAUCAUUCCAAACAUCCUUAAGGCAAGCAAAUGCUGGGAAAACUGAAAUUCAGUGACUUUCUUGGACCAUUGGAGAACUGAGGUCACAUAGCAACCCAUCACACCUGAAUCUGGAUAGAGGGGCACAUCCCAGGAGUCAUAGCCAAGAUCUGCUUACCUGGAUCGGAAGAUGCUGGAGCCAUAAACUUUUGGAGAAAAAUAUUGUCAUUCAUGUGGAACAACAAAAAAAUCACUAAAAUAAAACAUCUGGUAAAAAUAGGCCAAUAUAUUAAGAUCUAAGGGGAAGCACUCCUGAUGUCCUGCUUUUUCUUCAUGAAAGGUCAAAUUCAUCACAGAACUUCAUAUAUUUAUUGUGAAGAAACUGGGGAACAAAGAAGCUAUAUCUUUUUUCAGUGUCACAUAGACUCUAAAUGUUGGAUCUGAUUUGUUUAACUUCAGGCAAGAUCUGACCCUUCUUUGCACAUGUUGGAGUUUUUGCUUUUGGCCUUUGUGGAUCUUAACUCUAUCAUACGUGGAAUUCUCUCGACUCCCAAAAUUAUGCUCAAAGGCAAAUUUGUGGAAUUCCUUAUACGCAGACACUCUCCUCAACCUCAGAUCUACUUUCAAUAGUAAAGAAAGACAAUUGCAUGUUUGCAACAUCUUUCGAGAAAUUUUGGCUUCCAAGGACACCAUCAAAGUUUUACCUUCAUAAGAAUUAACAUCUUUGAAUACACAUCAUCAUUGGAAGAAAGAAAGGAGGCAAAAUGUCAAAUUCUAUAUUUAUUUUUGAGUUUGUAUGACAGGAAUAUAAUUUCUCAAGACAACACAUGGAACUCAAAAAAAGUUCCAUACAAGUGGAAGCCAAAUCAGAGAAAUAUGUCAAAUUUAAUUCAUUUCAAUUCUAAUAUAUGGAGAUUUUGCUUUGUAUAAAGUAUUGUUAGUGGAAAGGCAAGAAAAAUACAAUUCCUACUCUAAUAGAGCUUACCGUAUCACUAGAAGUAUACAAAUAGCUAAGAAUAAAUCAAAAUGUUAAUUCUACAGGACUAGGUGUCAAGUUUUUAAGAAUAUAAAGAGAGAUCUCCAACUUAAUAGGGGUAUCAGAAAGGGCUUUAAGAACUGAGAGUUAAUUUAAAGGAUAUAUAUUUUCAACAUGGAAAAAUAACAAAAGGAGCAUGGGUGGAAGAGAACAAGCAAAUGAUCAACGGGAAAAAUUCUGUUCAGAAGCAGGGUUGAGUCUAAUCUGGCUGCCAAAAGGAUGAAAAGCAGAGAUAAAAAUGUGGGCAAAAAUUUGCAAAAGUAGUUUAGGACCAAAUCUGGCUUCAAAUGUUAUUCCGUGGUGUUUGUCUUAACUUCCGAGGUCAUUGGGAUCCUGUGUUUUGGGCAAUCAUGUGGAGAGUGAUUAUCUACUGUGUGUGUACAACAGUCCAGACUGGGCAUGGAGGCACCCACUUGGAAAGCUGUUAGAAUAGUCUCAGAAUGAGAUAAAACUGGCCUGAAUAGGGGGGUGGCAAUGAUGAAAACAGGUGGAUCUAAAUGAUCUAACAUAGGUGGAAUUUAUAAAAGUUUGCAACUAGUAGACACGAUGGUCAAGAGGGAGGCAAGAAUAAAGGGGAGGUUAGCAUACAGUUGUAAAACUGAGUCUGGAGCCUGGGAGAAAGGUUAAGAUUAAUGAUAAAAACCUAUCUCAAAAUACACCACAUACUUUCUUUAUGAAUCUUACUUUUAAUCUGGGUAUUCAUCUGAGGUUAUUGUUUAACACUUAGGAAGAAACCUCAAUGAUUUCGUGUGUGUGUGUGUGUGUGCACAUGUGAGGAAUACUGGCUGUGAGCUAACAUCUGUUGCCAAUCUUCCUCUUUUUGCUUGAGGAAGAUUGUCACUGAGCUAACACCUGUGCAAAUCUUCCUCUAUUUUAUGUGGGAUGCCGCCACAGCAUGGCUUGAUGAGCAGUGCUAGGUCCCUGCACAGAUUCUAAACCUGCAAAUCCCAGGCCGCUGUAGUGGAGAGUGUGAACUUAACCAUUAUGCCACCAAGUCGGCCUCACAAAUUAUUUUUCAAAAUUAAUCUACUUGUGAUUCUUAUACAUAUUGGCAGUAUGGAUCCAACUUCCUGGAUGAAAGCUUUAUCAACAUUAUAGGUUUGGCUAAGUGUCCAUUGAUGGAUGAAUGAAUAAAGAAAAUGUAGUGUAUCUGUAUACAACGAAAUACUAUUCAGUCAUAAAAAAGAAGGAAAUCCUGCAAUUUGCAACAACAUGGAUGGACCUUGAGGACAUUAUGCUAAGUGAAAUAAGUCAGACAGAGAAAGACAAAUACAAUAUGAUCUCACUUAUAUGUGCAAUCUGAAAAAUAUUGUUGGUUGCCAGAGGCAGGGGGUGGGAGGUAGGUCAAAAUGGGUGAAGGAGGUAAAAAGGUAUAAACUUCCAAUCAUGAAAUAAAUGAGUCCUGGGGAUGUAAUUUACAGCAUGGUGACUAUAGUUAAUAAUACUGUAUUGUAUAUUUGAAAGUUGCUGAGAGAGUAGAUCUUAAAAGUUCUCAUCACAACAACAAAAAAAUUGUAGCUAUGCAAGGUAAUGGAUGUUAACUAGAUUCAUGGUG
ensembl:lncRNA